rnacentral:rRNA from 1 species
UACGUAGGGACCGAGCGUUGUCCGGAAUCAUUGGGCGUAAAGCGCGUGUAGGCGGCUCGGUAAGUCUGCUGUGAAAGUCCAGGGCUCAACCCUGGGAUGCCGGUGGAUACUGUCGAGCUCGAGUCCGGAAGAGGCGAGUGGAAUUCCUGGUGUAGCGGUGAAAUGCGCAGAUAUCAGGAGGAACACCAAUGGCGAAGGCAGCUCGCUGGGAAGUGACUGACGCUGAGACGCGAAAGCGUGGGGAGCAAACAGG